ensembl:lncRNA
GGAGUGUUCUUCACUGAAACCCGAUAGGCUAAAGAAUGCUCAAGCUGUAACAGUGCACAGGAGUGAGGACUGAACUCCCACAGAACGGGUCUUCUCUGCAGUUUGAUGUAUGGGCACAUUAACAUUCAUGUGUUCUGGUAUUUUGGAUGCUAGUGAACUUCCUUAGAAUUUACUUGACAUUGCUUUGAAAGUGUCUUCCCUUUGCCUUUUAAAAUACACUGACCCACACAGAUGCCGCCUGGCCCAUGUUCUGUCUUGGUGACAUGCUAUAUUCUUGAGUUGCUUUAUCUACUCAUUUAAGGAUUGCAUGGGAAAAAAAACUGGGCUGCUAUACCUGGAGACAUGAGCAAGAACUGGAAUUCAGAACUGAUCAGUGUGGACUGGGUGUCAUAGAUACAGAACAACUAGAAUUCUCUAAAAUCCUUCCUCCGAAGACAGGGAGUCUAGUAUUUCAGAUUUUGAUGUUUGCUAAGAUAAAGGAUGACAACGCUAAAAGCAGGAAUCUUUGCGGAACAUCCAUUGAUGUUGCCGUGGGCUCAAGGGCCAGGUUCAAAUCCUAACUUGCAGUUUCUGGUACCUGCAAAUGUGUUUUUCUUUUGGAGGAGAUGUGUGCGUUUGGGGCCCCAGAAUUGGACAUGAUACUGCAGGUGGAGUCUCACAAGAGCAGAGCAGAAGGGCAGAAUCAGCUCCAUGGACCUGCUGGUCUCACUUCUCUUGAUGCAAGAUACUUCUUUUGAUACAAGAGAUAGUUGUUGCUAUCAGGGACAUCAGUAUGACUUUACUGAUGAUGACCUGGAAUAUAUGAUUAAUCAUGUUGACGUCUGCAGCAGGGAUGAGAUUUGGAGGCCACUCCUGGAAUACUCAGUAAGGUCUACUGUAAGCCUUUAGAAAUAAUCCAAGAAACAGAGUCAAGACAGAACUAAAAUGUACAAUAGGAGAAACAUCACAAGAAGAUGCAUAGGAAGAAUUGUGAUGUGAUUUGAGCAAGACAAGGAUCUCCCCUGGCCUAUCAACUGCCCCAAGAUGGAGCUGCAUGCAUUCCAUCUGCUCCUCUGCAUGGAGCAUGACUUCUCCUCACCUUUGCAGCCACCCUUUCCUGAAGAGCCUCUUUUUAAUUUUUCCCAAGUUCAAUUUGUGCAGGUGCCUGCUUUUCACUGUUGUAGCAGAAAUGCUAAGUCAUGGCCUGAACCAGUGAUUGAGCACCUGGUGGGAAGGCAGGGCCAACCCAGGGGAGCUCAGCUGCAUGUGGAGCACCUGAGUGAUUGGAAGGCAUGGAGCCAGGAUCCACCCCUUCCCAGACUUCAUUUAAGGGUUAGCAGUGGAGGUGAGGAUAUCUUGUUGGAGGUUACUGCUUACUGAAGGUCUUCAUAAGUGUAUGCUGGUGGAGCAAUACCAAGUUAUCUCUCAAACUUCCAAAGCUGGCUGGAGCUGGAUGUGAGGUUUUUACAAGAAGACAACCAAGCCUGCUUUUUCUUUUCCCAACUCAUCAUACAGUGUACCUUGUCUCACCUCCCAGCAAACUGACAGCAACCUGUACCCAACAUGAAAAAAAAAAUAACAAGCAGAUAGCACUCAAGCAGCAAAAUCAACAUUCUUAUUCUUCAGUUAAUGACUAAUGUGAGCAAGAUGAGGUCCAGCAGCACUCCAACAGAACAGAAGAGAGUCCUUUAUUCCCAAAGCAUCAAUGAUAUGGUCAAUAGUUAAAUCCAAUAAGUGAUAUUUUUUCCCUCUUCUUGAACCUAAAAAUUAAGAAAUGAGAGCUCUACAGCUCUUUUUCUUACCUGUAUAUGAAUUACUUGACUGACAUUGCCUUUCAAAAAGAGCUGCAAAUAUGUUAAGCCAGGAGGGUAAAGAAAAUGAAUCCUACUCAUUAAUUAGCAUUACUACAUAGUGCAAGUAUGCACAAUGUGGAUUUGAAGAUGGAUCUCCACCUUUUACGUAUAACCUGGCAGGCGUACAAGUGACAAUGUAUCGUAGCAUUUUGUGUAAACCCUUGUGAAAGUUCUGUCCUUGGUGAGAUACAGAUCUAGGAGAACCAACAUACAGAUGGACAGGCGAUCAAGAAAAAAACAAACAGGAAAUAGCAGGCUGAAGAGAAGAUACACACAUGCAAAGAAAUAGUGCUUAAAUUCUUCUAAGGUCUGAUAAGAGGAGACUGAUGGUCCAGCUGAACCUGCAAAAAGUGAUAGAACUCCAAAUUGUACUGAAUUUUUUCAAAGCAACUGGUACAUAGUAGCAUCAACAAUAGGUUGUAUCACAUGGAUCAUACCCAGGAGGGUAGAGGCUGCAGUAUUCUGACAGACCCUGGUGUAAUACAUGCACCCUAAUGGGUCUCCCAGACCUACCUCUAGGCCACUCUUUCAGUUGGCCUCCAGCUGUUACUCCGUCCACAUAACUGUGAGUAACCCUAUGAGAGCAUGUGUGUGUCUGAACUGUAAAUGGAUGUAUGGUGUGAAUUAUUAAUUAUUAUAAAGCUGUGGCUAAUAAUGAAAGCUUGAGUCUAUUCAUAAUAUAAAUAUAUGUGAACCUAAGUAGUAAAAGGUGUUUUAAUAAAUAUUGGUCAUGAUCUGUCUCCCCAGCUUGAUUGCCUACCAGAGAAAAUGGUAUUUAUAAUAAUGAAAUUUCCUUUCUACUUGGAAAAGACAGGAGAUGAACCAUUGAAUUCAGCAUGCUAGGUAGCUGCAGAGAGGACCCUCCCCCCUUCAUCUAAAUGUUGAGCAGUAGCUUUAUUUCCUGAAUGUACCCAUCCAUUAUCUUCUACUGACAAUAAACACCUUACAAUUUCUUUUUAGUAAGAUCUUUAUGAGCCUUCAGUUCAUGUUAAGUUUAAAAGGGUCGUAUUCCUUUGUUUUGACAGUGCAAAGGAUUCUGGUUUACUUUUAGCUGUUUUUGAAGCUUAAUUGGAGCCAGAAGGCUGGAUCAUCAGUAGACAUAAUGUAUUAUCAUUAACUUCAUGAGGCAAUUUCUCAUGUACAAUUUUGCUAGUGCAGACAU